GCGGGUGUAAUUCAGUGGUAGAAUGUCAGCUUCCCAGGCUGAACGUCGCCGGUUCGAGUCCGGUCACCCGCU
rnacentral:tRNA from 1 species